GACAGAUGACGUGUCGACAGAUUAGUGGUCGAAAAGUCAUUUGUGUUUUUCCUUUUUUACAUGUGUCGAGCAUUAGAAACAAGUGCAAAUAAAGCGUGCGUUCCUUGCGCCGUCAUUUCAAUUAUUUUCGUCCAACUGUGCAGUGCUAAGCUAAACAUCUCUACCAUCUCUUACGCAUUUAAAAGAAAUUUCUGCCAAUCGGUAAGUACAUUAUUAAUAAAAGAAAUAAAAUGUCUUACAAAAGAAAAAGCCGAACAUAUAUCGGAGAGGCUCGACACGUGCAAAGAGCUACUGGAGAUUUUGAGGUUAAAUUGAAUCAUAUGCAAAAUAUUUCGAAAGUUUUUCUCCUGGCGUGGGACAGACUCCAAAAAGUGUGUAAGAGGACUUCGAACCACUUUAGCACUACGAAAUGCAUUUAAACAGAAGUUUGCGCUCGACGAUCAGGAUUUCGACCAUACAACUCAAAAAUAUUUCCAGUAUGCUCAGGAACGGAAGGCCAGAUUGGAAAAAAGUGAUGCAAAAAAACUUAAAUUUUAGUACAUAGUUCAUACAUAUUACACAUUAAAUUCAUUUCAUAUUACAAAUUAAAAA